rnacentral:rRNA from 1 species
AGAGUUUGAUCAUGGCUCAGGACGAACGCUGGCGGCGUGCUUAACACAUGCAAGUCGAACGGAAAGCGCUCUUCGGAGUGACUCGAGUGGCGAACGGGUGAGUAACACGUGGGUGAUCUGCCCUGCACUUUGGGAUAAGCCUGGGAAACUGGGUCUAAUACCGGAUAGGACUACGGGAUGCAUGUCUUGUGGUGGAAAGCUUUUGCGGUGUGGGAUGGGCCCGCGGCCUAUCAGCUUGUUGGUGGGGUGAUGGCCUACCAAGGCGACGACGGGUAGCCGGCCUGAGAGGGUGUCCGGCCACACUGGGACUGAGAUACGGCCCAGACUCCUACGGGAGGCAGCAGUGGGGAAUAUUGCACAAUGGGCGCAAGCCUGAUGCAGCGACGCCGCGUGGGGGAUGACGGCCUUCGGGUUGUAAACCUCUUUCAGUAGGGACGAAGCGCAAGUGACGGUACCUAUAGAAGAAGCACCGGCCAACUACGUGCCAGCAGCCGCGGUAAUACGUAGGGUGCGAGCGUUGUCCGGAAUUACUGGGCGUAAAGAGCUCGUAGGUGGUUUGUCGCGUUGUUCGUGAAAACUCACAGCUUAACUGUGGGCGUGCGGGCGAUACGGGCAGACUGGAGUACUGCAGGGGAGACUGGAAUUCCUGGUGUAGCGGUGGAAUGCGCAGAUAUCAGGAGGAACACCGGUGGCGAAGGCGGGUCUCUGGGCAGUAACUGACGCUGAGGAGCGAAAGCGUGGGGAGCGAACAGGAUUAGAUACCCCGGUAGUCC